CCAGAUACAUUGUAUAUAAGAUCAAUCGAUAUCGGUAAACGUUGCCGGUAGAAGUGACAGCCGGGUCCCGCGCAACGGACAUCCGUGAACCCCGUCAGGCCCGGAAGGGAGCAGCGGUAACGGUUUUGGACGUGUGCCGCGGGGGUGCCUGGCUGUCACUUGUGCCGGCAAUUUUUGUUUUGG
rnacentral:misc_RNA from 1 species